GCUGAAAUACUAUCGUAGUUUCACAUAUCUUUCGCAUAUAUACGAAUUCUAUGAUUAGACAAUCGUGUAAAAACGAUUAUUUUUCUCUUAAAAUUUAACUUUUCGAAUAGUUUAAUUUCUCGUUAGUUUGCAUUCCGUGUAAUUAUUUCAUUACUUCACCUGCAUAUUCAUUCGUUAAUAACUCAUUGUUCCGCGUGCUGCGUGUGCGUGUGCAGAAGCGCGCACGGCGCGCCAAGAUUUAUACAAUAGUUUGGCAGCCGUUUGAAUUCUAUACAAUAACGGCAGGUGUAACGUGAAAUUAGAAGGUCGUAAUUAGCUGUUAUCUACCGAUGUAGAAUUUGAUUAACGCUCGUACAGCAAGACUCGAGGGCCUAAUUAUAUCAUAUAAUUAAAUAUGAUGAAAAACAUUGUACUCGUGUGAAAGUAAGAUUGAAUCUUACUUUUCAAUCGAAAAAUAACAAUCUAAUAAAAAAUUUACAUGAUUUCUAUUUACUUUUAUCGUAACAAUGCAAUGUGUAUAGAAUCUCGUCAUAUUAUUAGAUUCGUUAUUAAAUUAUAUUGCUUUCAAUGCCAUCGUCGUAUGACAAUUUGUAUCGCUAUUAACUUUCGAAAUAUUUGAGUAUUACCACUCGGGUGUAUGAUUGAUUUUUAAUUCGAAAAUUAUAAUAUAAAGGAUGCAUUAAGAAUUUUUUUUAUUGGUACCUCUAAUUUUUUGGCAGAAUUUGUGGAAAUGGGUGAAGGGAAAUUUAACACAGGGGAAAUUCGCCUGGAAUUAUGCAAUUCAGGGUACAUUUUACCGAUCGGGAUUCGAUUCAUAGUAAAUGAUUGAAAAACGCGAGGAAAUUUGACCAAUCUUGAAAGAUGAAGAAAUUGCGUAAAUGCAGGUGAAUUAUUAUCAUCCACGAUUCCAGGUUAAACAGCCGAUCAGACAUUUCCAUUAAUUUUACCGGUAUGGUAAUUCAUCCGUAUUAUAUUUACGCAAAAUAUGUAGUCAAGUGUUUCGAAAGUUAAACUCUUGAGGAGUUUCCUUCAUUUUACGUAUAAAAUUUUACAAUUAGGGAUGAUGACGCGAUAUUGUAUAGCGUGUAGAGUACGUAUUUACGAUUGUCAUUGUCUAUAAAUAUAAAUAUACAAUAUAGGAAUAUGUAUAAUU